AGCCGCCGCCGCCGUUUUCCCCGGUAUGGACGAACAGCGGGCGAGGUCUUUUAUGCCUUUCGCGGGAAGGUCAACAAACGGUGAGAAGCUAUCGAAAACGACCUGUUUUACCACAUUUCCAGGCCACUUGACCCACGGGGACCUGACUUUGCAACAUUCGUCGGGGGCGCUGCAAAAAGCUUAGCUUCUCGGAAACUCAGGCCUGCCUGUGUCUCUCAAGGAUGGACAGAGGUGGUUGUGGACUUACAGACCCUUUGAUGUAAGGGAUAGAGAGAAGCUAAGUGAGCGCACCCAUCUCUGAGCAUUUCAACCGCGAGGGAAUCCGAGCAAAGUAACAAUAAGAUACAACUAAUAUCCUAGGAAUGCUGUUGGUUUACAGUGUUCUGUCAAUUUUCUCCUCUACUGUCGGGAGCCAUAAGGCUGCUCCAGUAAAGAAAGCAAAGCCACAGUCGGCACCUGCAUGAGGCUUGUCUGGUUAGCAGAGCUACAGACAAGCUGAAGAAAGAAGAAGGAUUGCGGAUGCGUGAGUCUUGUCUGGUUAGCAGAUCUACAGACAAGCUGAAGAAGGAAGAAGGAUUGCAGAGCAAUCCCUUGAAAGACAUCGGCUCCAGGAAAAUAAAAAUGAUAUCCCCUAAAAAAUAUGUUAAUCUAUUUUUCUGUGUUUAUCCUUCCUUUUCUAUCUCUAUUCACAGCUUUCUUACUGCUAAAGAUUUGCCCUGGGUACGUAAAACACUUGAACCAAAACAGAAUGAAGUUAUUUAAACAAUGUAAUGGAAAAAGCCUUUGUUUUGGAGUAACAAUUUAUGGCACCUAUUUUGUGAGAGUAUACAGGGGAAACUUAUGAUUUCAGUCCCUUUACUUAAAAAGAAGUUUGGGGCUGGGAAAAAUGUUGUUUGGCCUAUAAAUUGCUAUAAUAGAUAUAUUUUUUAUCAAAUAACAGUGUCACCUGUAACUUUCAUCCCUUGUGGGGGCAUUUGUUAAUUUUUGGGUAUAAUACUCCUUUCUAUUGAAAUUGGUGGUUUGGAACUUACGUAAAUCAGCACAAUAGGUUAAAUGCUUAGCUUGCUGGUGCCAAAUAAAUCGUGGUUUUAAGAAUGUCAUGAGCCCAAGGCGUUCAUGCGUUUUGUUAACUACAUACACCUUUAGUUAAAGAAUGUUAGGUAUCAUAGGUUAUUACUUAUUAAAGCUUUGUUCUUAAUAUAGAAUAGAAUAGCUACUGUUGUUGACCUUUUAAGAAAAAUACAGUGUGAAACUUUAAGUUUGUAAUCUUGAAGGAAAAUCUAAAGUUGAAAGGAACAUGUUUUAACUAACCUUUUUUUGUAUCUCGGGUGGAGGGAACAAAAGGGCUUUAAAUCAAAUGUUAAUGUCAAAUCUUACACGAAACCUGAUUGUGAUAGGGUAUAAAAACUGAUGCUUUUCAUUUAAUAAAUUGGGUCAUCUGCAGCAUGCA
rnacentral:lncRNA from 1 species